UUGCUGCUUUGCUGACGAGUGGCGGACGGGUGAGUAAUGUCUGGGAAACUGCCUGAUGGAGGGGGAUAACUACUGGAAACGGUAGCUAAUACCGCAUAACGUCGCAAGACCAAAGAGGGGGACCUUAGGGCCUCUUGCCAUCGGAUGUGCCCAGAUGGGAUUAGCUAGUAGGUGGGGUAACGGCUCACCUAGGCGACGAUCCCUAGCUGGUCUGAGAGGAUGACCAGCCACACUGGAACUGAGACACGGUCCAGACUCCUACGGGAGGCAGCAGUGGGGAAUAUUGCACAAUGGGCGCAAGCCUGAUGCAGCCAUGCCGCGUGUAUGAAGAAGGCCUUCGGGUUGUAAAGUACUUUCAGCGGGGAGGAAGGGAGUAAAGUUAAUACCUUUGCUCAUUGACGUUACCCGCAGAAGAAGCACCGGCUAACUCCGUGCCAGCAGCCGCGGUAAUACGGAGGGUGCAAGCGUUAAUCGGAAUUACUGGGCGUAAAGCGCACGCAGGCGGUUUGUUAAGUC
rnacentral:rRNA from 1 species